GCAGGCUCUUCUGUGCUCAGGCACUGUGAGAAAACAGUGAUAAGCAAAUUCAUUUACGAUAUAUGGUAAGAGUGAUGAACUGAUAAGAAAUGAGAAAAAAGGAGAUGAAAAAAGAAAGGCAACGAAGAGUAGGAAAAUGGAGAAAUACACGUGGAUGUUAGAGAGAUCAUGAGCAGAGAGAAGUGGUCUUCAUGGAAACCAUUCUGAGCUAGACUGGGUUUAAUUCCAAACUGCCAACGACGGAUUUCUCUGACUCUCUUGGGCAUUUGGUUUAUCUUCUGCAGAAUGUCAUAUAAAUAUGGAGUUUGGAGGUCCAACAAUUCAUUUAACUUAGACCUGUAAGAUGCAUCCAUAUUGGAAUAACGGAGUGAAAUUGAAUGGCCAUACUUAACUCCAGGGUAUAAGCAAUGGGAUUGCUACAAAGAGUUCCGGGUCAUUUAUCUUCCUAUGGCAUUCUCUAUCAAUCUGUAGUAUAUUACUCUCAUUUUAUGGUGAGGAUUUUAUUCCAUUAUUCAAAAACAAUGCUUUAGAGAUAAAAUUAUAUGAAA